rnacentral:rRNA from 1 species
AUUGAACGCUGGCGGCAGGCCUAACACAUGCAAGUCGAGCGGAUGACGGGAGCUUGCUCCUGGAUUCAGCGGCGGACGGGUGAGUAAUGCCUAGGAAUCUGCCUGGUAGUGGGGGACAACGUUUCGAAAGGAACGCUAAUACCGCAUACGUCCUACGGGAGAAAGCAAGGGACCUUCGGGCCUUGCGCUAUCAGAUGAGCCUAGGUCGGAUUAGCUUGUUGGUGAGGUAAUGGCUCACCAAGGCGACGAUCCGUAACUGGUCUGAGAGGAUGAUCAGUCACACUGGAACUGAGACACGGUCCAGACUCCUACGGGAGGCAGCAGUGGGGAAUAUUGGACAAUGGGCGAAAGCCUGAUCCAGCCAUGCCGCGUGUGUGAAGAAGGUCUUCGGAUUGUAAAGCACUUUAAGUUGGGAGGAAGGGUUGUAGAUUAAUACUCUGCAAUUUUGACGUUACCGACAGAAUAAGCACCGGCUAACUCUGUGCCAGCCGCCGCCGUAACAC